GACGUUAAGAGACUUGCAGAAAAAGAAGACUGGGUUGUGGACAAUGAAGGAAUCACGUCACUGCCGGCCCAGUUUGAGCAGUGUAUGGUUCAGAUGCUGCAGUCUCUGAAGGAGCCCAUGGAAUGUAAACCUGGAGAGAUCAAUAUCUUUAAUCUGGAUGUGGUUCAAGACAAAUCUUGUGAGCAGUGUGUUUCUAUCAUGAAGGU